GACGAAGGUGGCGAGCGUUGCUCGGAAUUACUGGGCAUAAAGGGCGCGUAGGUGGCGUAGUCAGUCGGUGGUGAAAUCCUAUGGCUCACCCAUAGAAUGGCCGCCGAUACUGCUGGGCUUGAGGUCAGGAGGGGAGAGUGGAACUCCUGGUGUAGCGGUGAAAUGCGUAGAUAUCAGGAGGAACGCCGGUGGCGAAAGCGACUCUCUGGACUGGACCUGACACUGAGGCGCGAAAGCUAGGGGAGCAAACAGG
rnacentral:rRNA from 1 species